UACGUAGGUGGCAAGCGUUUGUCCGGAGUUACUGGGCGUAAAGCGCGCGCAGGCGGUCACGCAGGUCAUCUGUGAAAGCACUCGGCUCAACCGGGAUGUUGCGGGUGAAACCGCGUGACUGGAGGGUGGGAGAGGUCGGUGGAAUUCCCGGUGUAGUGGUGAAAUGCGUAGAGAUCGGGAGGAACACCCGUAGCGAAGGCGGCCGACUGGACCACACCUGACGCUGAGGCGCGAAGGCCAGGGGAGCGAACGGG
rnacentral:rRNA from 1 species